rnacentral:tRNA from 4 species
GCGAAGGUGGCGGAAUUGGUAGACGCGCUAGCUUCAGGUGUUAGUGUCCUUACGGACGAGGGGGUUCAAGUCCCCCCCCUCGCACCA